UUUAGAGUUGAUGAUUUAGGGUUUAGAGUUGAAGGUUUAGGGUUUAGGGUUUAGAGUUGAUGUUUCAGGGUUUAAGGUUUAGAGUUCAUGUUUCAGGGUUUAGGGUUCGUAUUUCAAAAGAAAAUAGGGUUUAGGAUUGAUGAUUUAGGGUUAUGGUUCGUAUUUCAAAAAAGAAAUAAGGUUUAGGAUUAAUGGUUUAGGGUUUAGAGUUGAGUUUUAGGGUUUAGGGUUUGA
rnacentral:lncRNA from 1 species